rnacentral:lncRNA from 1 species
UUUUAUAAUCUCCUUUCUUUAUUUUUAUACAUUCCAAGAAGCUUCAACAAAGUGCAACUCCCUGUUCUUAAGUUCUCGAGUGAAAAUUAUUAAUUUGAUCCUUAUUAUUAGUCGCUUACGGUGAUAUUAUCAGCUAGGCCUGCAAUUAGUAAGCUUUAUUACUGUAUUUAUCUAUAUAUAUAUGUGAUACGAUGUAUGCCGCUACCGCGUUCCCAAAGUCUCGUAUUAUAGCUUUCUGUAAUUUAGACAGCAUAGCGAUCGCAUCAAUUAAACGAGUCAACAAUGUCUGGCGACGCGAAAUGACACACAUGGCUUAUUUAAUUAUCGAAUGUUAGACAGGUGUAUCGGGGGAAAGUAUACAAUGGCGAUGGCGAUGGCGAUAGUGGACGGAGUGAAAGUCGAGAUAAUACCGCGCGAUCGUCAACAAACAUGAUGAAGAAUGAUCGUUUGUUUGAGUGGUUUGUUCGACUAAUUGACAUGUCCCAAAUAUGCAAAAUCGUGAUGACAUCAUAAGUCGCAUAUAAAAUUUGUUCAAUUUGAUAGAAAUAUUCACGAUUGCGGAUAUAGAUUAAUAUUUAAUUCUACAUAAUAUUCAUCACACGGGAGAAAGGUUCAGUGAUCCAAUGGAUUCAACCAGAGAAAUCAGUUCUGAUCCAAUGGCGCGACGAUAAGCCGGAACAAAAUCGAUCGAUCGUUUCGGUCGACAUCACUUGCUCUACGCGGCUCGUUGUCAUUCGUUAUCAGCAAUUGCAAGAGGAAAAGAGAAAUUCAACCUUGAUGAAAGUGACCACCGCAUCGACGAAUGAUGACUUCGGAUAAGGAAUCUAGUGUAUCGGGAUAACGGUGUAUUUUUUCUUCGCAAGAAAUGCGCUUUACUCUUCUCAUCGAUAUUAUCAUUAUCGCAUUCUUCGGCCUAACUUUUAACUUUUAUGUACUGCAAAAAGAUCAUUGUUAACCGAUAUUACAGUUUACACUGUCGCGCCUAAAUACCUCUACAGUGAAAAAAUGUAUCAGGUUGCGUUGUAAACGAGGGAACGAUACGAAUCUGCUUAUGCCGAGCAAAACGACGGGGAUGCACGUCGCGGGUCACCGCUUUUCGCGCGCACCCGGGCACUCGGCGAAGUCACCCAAGGCGAGAGAACGAUGAUGAACGUCUCGCCUCGAACACGAAACCCGGUUGAUUUUUGCCUUCAUGCUCUGCCAACCAUGCGCCGCGGUAAUUCGUCAGCUCGCGACCAUGCGACCGACCACGCCCGUAGGAAGAAUUGAACAUAGAUGCUACUACCGUUCGUUACUUCGCAUUCCUGGAUUAAAUCACGAUACGAUUGCGAUCGGUGUUUAGUGUCCAUUCAAGCAAGCCUAAAGAUAAAUGGCAUGCUGAAAACGUGCAUUCUAUGUGUUGCAGUAAAAUAUUAAUAUGCAAAUAUUAUCAAUUUAAUAUAAAAAUGAAUACUUA